rnacentral:rRNA from 1 species
CCCUUAGAUGUUCUGGGCCGCACGCGUGCUACACUGAGUGGAUCAGCGGGUCAGGUUGCGCGAAAGUGUUUCCUAAUCUUUAAAUCCGCUCGUGAUGGGGAUUGACGGUUGCAAUUUUCCGUCAUGAACGAGGAAUACCUUGUAAGCGCGGGUCAUCAUCCCGCGCUGAAUACGUCCCUGCCCUUUGUACACACCGCCCGUCGCUCCUACCGAUUGAGUGGUCCGGUGAGGCUUUGGGAUCUGAACGGAAAGAGCGUUUCGCUGUUUCUGCCCGGAAAACUCAGUCGAACCUUAUCAUUUAGAGGAAGGAGAAGUCGUAACA